UAUGUGAUCGUCUCUCGCAUAUCAAUAAGCGGAGGAAAAGAAACUAACAAGGAUUCCCCUAGUAACGGCGAGUGAAGCGGGAAGAGCUCAAAUUUGAAAUCUUAAAGGGUUUCCCUUUACGAAUUGUAGUUUAAAGAAGUGUUUUCUGUUGAGGUUUUGGUAAAAGUUCUUUGGAAUAGGACAUCAUAGAGGGUGAGAAUCCCGUAUUUGACCUUUACUUUCAACUUUGUGAUACACUUUCAAAGAGUCGGAUUGUUUGGGAAUGCAGUCCAAAAUGGGUGGUAAAUUUCAUCUAAAGCUAAAUAUUGGCGAGAGACCGAUAGCGAACAAGUACCGUGAGGGAAAGAUGAAAAGAACAUUGAAAAGAGAGUUAAACAGUACGUGAAAUUGUCAAAAGGGAAGCGUUUGACACCAGUGUUGUUUUUCUGAAAAUCAAUUAAAGAACUGUUUAUGCUAAGCUGUUUAGACUUUAUCAGCUAUCUGUUUAGUUUUGAGCUUUUCUUUAAUGCACUUUUCAGUUAACAAGUCAACAUCAAUUUCUUUUGCUGUAAAAAAGCUUGAGGAAGGUGGCUUGAGAUUCGUCUUAAGUGUUUAUAGCCUCUUGCCUAUGCAGUCGGAGAGAUUGAGGUCUGCAGCGUAGAUCCUUCGGGGCUAAAUGCAUUUGUGCUAAGUUAUAGCAUUUUAUAGACAACUUGUUGACUAUGAUUUGUCUUGUAGCUUACUCGCUUAUGUUAUUUUACCUACGCUUAGGAUGUUGAGUAGCGACAUACGCAC
rnacentral:rRNA from 1 species